UCCAACCAGGAAGGAAGCAGCAGA
rnacentral:siRNA from 1 species